rnacentral:rRNA from 1 species
AUUGAACGCUGGCGGCAGGCCUAACACAUGCAAGUCGAGCGGGGUUUUCGGACCUAGCGGCGGACGGGUGAGUAAUGCGUAGGAAGCUACCCGAUAGAGGGGGAUACCAGUUGGAAACGACUGUUAAUACCGCAUAAUGUCUACGGACCAAAGUGUGGGACCUUCGGGCCACAUGCUAUCGGAUGCGCCUACGUGGGAUUAGCUAGUUGGUGGGGUAAUGGCUCACCAAGGCGACGAUCCCUAGCUGGUUUGAGAGGAUGAUCAGCCACACUGGAACGGAGACCAGGUCCAGACUCCUACGGGAGGCAGCAGUGGGGAAUAUUGGACAAUGGGCGCAAGCCUGAUCCAGCCAUGCCGCGUGUGUGAAGAAGGCCUUCGGGUUGUAAAGCACUUUCAGUAGGGAGGAAGGGUGUUGUGUUAAUAGCACAGCAUUUUGACGUUACCUACAGAAGAAGCACCGGCUAACUCUGUGCCAGCAGCCGCUGUAAGAC